rnacentral:rRNA from 1 species
AUGAACGCUGGCGGCGUGCCUAAUACAUGCAAGUCGAGCGAACAGACGAGGAGCUUGCUCCUCUGACGUUAGCGGCGGACGGGUGAGUAACACGUGGAUAACCUACCUAUAAGACUGGGAUAACUUCGGGAAACCGGAGCUAAUACCGGAUAAUAUAUUGAACCGCAUGGUUCAAUAGUGAAAGACGGUUUUGCUGUCACUUAUAGAUGGAUCCGCGCCGCAUUAGCUAGUUGGUAAGGUAACGGCUUACCGAGGCGACGAUGCGUAGCCGACCUGAGAGGGUGAUCGGCCACACUGGAACUGAGACACGGUCCAGACUCCUACGGGAGGCAGCAGUAGGGAAUCUUCCGCAAUGGGCGAAAGCCUGACGGAGCAACGCCGCGUGAGUGAUGAAGGUCUUCGGAUCGUAAAACUCUGUUAUUAGGGAAGAACAAAUGUGUAAGUAACUAUGCACGUCUUGACGGUACCUAAUCAGAAAGCCACGGCUAACUACGUG